rnacentral:rRNA from 1 species
GACGAACGCUGGCGGCGUGCUUAACACAUGCAAGUCGAACGGAAAGGCCUUUUCGGAGGUACUCGAGUGGCGAACGGGUGAGUAACACGUGGGUGAUCUGCCCUGCACUCUGGGAUAAGCCUGGGAAACUGGGUCUAAUACCGGAUAGGACCGCACUUUAGUGUGUGUGGUGGAAAGUUUUUUCGGUGUAGGAUGAGCCCGCGGCCUAUCAGCUUGUUGGUGGGGUAAUGGCCUACCAAGGCGGCGACGGGUAGCCGGACUGAGAGGUUGGUCGGCCACAUUGGGACUGAGAUACGGCCCAGACUCCUACGGGAGGCAGCAGUGGGGAAUAUUGCACAAUGGGCGCAAGCCUGAUGUAGCGACGCCGCGUGGGGGAUGACGGCCUUCGGGUUGUAAACUCCUUUCGCCAGGGACGAAGCGUUUUGUGACGGUACCUGGAGAAGAAGCACCGGCUAACUACGUG